rnacentral:tRNA from 1 species
GCUUCGAUAGCUCAGUUGGCAGAGCGUGUGCUUCACAUGCACAAGGUCGUGGGUUCAAGCCCCACUCGGAGUA